rnacentral:rRNA from 1 species
GAAUGCUGACAUAAGUAACGAUAAAGCGGGUGAAAAGCCCGCUCGCCGGAAGACCAAGGGUUCCUGUCCAACGUUAAUCGGGGCAGGGUGAGUCGACCCCUAAGGCGAGGCCGAAAGGCGUAGUCGAUGGGAAACAGGUUAAUAUUCCUGUACUUGGUGUUACUGCGAAGGGGGGACGGAGAAGGCUAUGUUGGCCGGGCGACGGUUGUCCCGGUUUAAGCGUGUAGGCUGAUUUUCCAGGCAAAUCCGGAAAAUCAAGGCUGAGGCGUGAUGACGAGGCACUACGGUGCUGAAGCAACAAAUGCCCUGCUUCCAGGAAAAGCCUCUAAGCAUCAGGUAACAUCAAAUCGUACCCCAAACCGACACAGGUGGUCAGGUAGAGAAUACCAAGGCGCUUGAGAGAACUCGGGUGAAGGAACUAGGCAAAAUGGUGCCGUAACUUCGGGAGAAGGCACGCUGAUAUGUAGGUGAAGCGACUUGCUCGUGGAGCUGAAAUCAGUCGAAGAUACCAGCUGGCUGCAACUGUUUAUUAAAAACACAGCACUGUGCAAACACGAAAGUGGACGUAUACGGUGUGACGCCUGCCCGGUGCCGGAAGGUUAAUUGAUGGGGUUAGCGGUAACGCGAAGCUCUUGAUCGAAGCCCCGGUAAACGGCGGCCGUAACUAUAACGGUCCUAAGGUAGCGAAAUUCCUUGUCGGGUAAGUUCCGACCUGCACGAAUGGCGUAAUGAUGGCCAGGCUGUCUCCACCCGAGACUCAGUGAAAUUGAACUCGCUGUGAAGAUGCAGUGUACCCGCGGCAAGACGGAAAGACCCCGUGAACCUUUACUAUAGCUUGACACUGAACAUUGAGCCUUGAUGUGUAGGAUAGGUGGGAGGCUUUGAAGUGUGGACGCCAGUCUGCAUGGAGCCGACCUUGAAAUACCACCCUUUAAUGUUUGAUGUUCUAACGUUGGCCCGUUAUCCGGGUUGCGGACAGUGUCUGGUGGGUAGUUUGACUGGGGCGGUCUCCUCCUAAAGAGUAACGGAGGAGCACGAAGGUUGGCUAAUCCUGGUCGGACAUCAGGAGGUUAGUGCAAUGGCAUAAGCCAGCUUGACUGCGAGCGUGACGGCGCGAGCAGGUGCGAAAGCAGGUCAUAGUGAUCCGGUGGUUCUGAAUGGAAGGGCCAUCGCUCAACGGAUAAAAGGUACUCCGGGGAUAACAGGCUGAUACCGCCCAAGAGUUCAUAUCGACGGCGGUGUUUGGCACCUCGAUGUCGGCUCAUCACAUCCUGGGGCUGAAGUAGGUCCCAAGGGUAUGGCUGUUCGCCAUUUAAAGUGGUACGCGAGCUGGGUUUAGAACGUCGUGAGACAGUUCGGUCCCUAUCUGCCGUGGGCGCUGGAGAACUGAGGGGGGCUGCUCCUAGUACGAGAGGACCGGAGUGGACGCAUCACUGGUGUUCGGGUUGUCAUGCCAAUGGCACUGCCCGGUAGCUAAAUGCGGAAGAGAUAAGUGCUGAAAGCAUCUAAGCACGAAACUUGCCCCGAGAUGAGUUCUCCCUGACUCCUUGAGAGUCCUGAAGGA